rnacentral:rRNA from 1 species
UAGUCUGGGAAACUGCCUGAUGGAGGGGGGUAACUACUGGAAACGGUAGCUAAUACCGCAUAAUGUCGCAAGACCAAAGUGGGGGACCUUCGGGCCUCAUGCCAUCAGAUGUGCCCAGAUGGGAUUAGCUAGUAGGUGGGGUAAUGGCUCACCUAGGCGACGAUCCCUAGCUGGUCUGAGAGGAUGACCAGCCACACUGGAACUGAGACACGGUCCAG